AGCGAACGCUGGCGGCAGGCCUAACACAUGCAAGUCGAACGAAGUCUUCGGACUUAGUGGCGGACGGGUGAGUAACACGUGGGAACGUGCCUUUAGGUUCGGAAUAACUCAGGGAAACUUGUGCUAAUACCGAGUGUGCCCUUCGGGGGAAAGAUUUAUCGCCUUUAGAGCGGCCCGCGUCUGAUUAGCUAGUUGGUGAGAUAAAGGCUCACCAAGGCGACGAUCAGUAGCUGGUCUGAGAGGAUGAUCAGCCACAUUGGGACUGAGACACGGCCCAAACUCCUACGGGAGGCAGCAGUGGGGAAUCUUGCGCAAUGGGCGAAAGCCUGACGCAGCCAUGCCGCGUGAAUGAUGAAGGUCUUAGGAUUGUAAAAUUCUUUCACCGGGGACGAUAAUGACGGUACCCGGAGAAGAAGCCCCGGCUAACUUCGUGCCAGCAGCCGCCGUAA
rnacentral:rRNA from 1 species